UAGGGAAUCUUCGGCAAUGGACGAAAGUCUGACCGAGCAAUGCCGCGUGAGUGAAGAAGGUUUUCGGAUCGUAAAACUCUGUUGGUAGAGAAGAACGUUGGUGAGAGUGGAAAGCUCAUCAAGUGACGGUAACUACCCAGAAAGGGACGGCUAACUACGUGCCAGCAG
rnacentral:rRNA from 1 species